AUUGAACGCUGGCGGCAGGCUUAACACAUGCAAGUCGAACGAGUGGCGGACGGGUGAGUAAUGCUUGGGAAUCUGGCUUAUGGAGGGGGCUAACUACGGGAAACUGUAGCUAAUACCGCGUACCAUAGGAUGAGCCCAAGGGGGAUUAGGUAGUUGGUGAGGUAAAGGCUCAACAAGCCGACGAUCGCUAGCUGGUCUGAGAGGAUGACCAGCAACACUGGAACUGAGACACGGCCCAGACUCCGACGGGAGGGAGCAGUGGGGAAUAUUGCGCAAUGGGGGCAACCUGAAGCAGCCAUGCCGCGUGUAUGAAGAAGGCAUGCGGGUUGUAAAGUUCUUUCGGUAUAGAGGCGUUACCUACAGAAGAAGCACCGGCUAACUCCGUGCCAGCAGCCGCGGUAAUUC
rnacentral:rRNA from 1 species